rnacentral:rRNA from 1 species
GUCUAAGUACUAGCCGAUUUUUAUUAAUUUAAAAAAACAAAUGGUGAAACCGCAAAAAGCUCAUUAAAUCGGCUUUGGUUCCUUAGAUAGUUUGCAGUCGGAAAAUUUUUUUCUUAAAUGAAAAAAAUUCUAAAACUGAUAUGGAUAACUGUGGUAAUUCUAGAGCUAAUACAUGAAAAUAAAUAAUUAUUAGGUGCGAAAAUUCAAUCAAGUCUAUUUGUUUUAAGCGCCUUUCGGCGGCUAAAUUUAUGGCUUGUGUUGGUAAAAUUUUUGCACGCUUUUAUUAGAGUAAAAAGCCUAACAUUUAUUGGUCCGUUUUUUAGGUGAAAGUUUUGAAACGUUUUCUUUCGGGGAAAUUGUAUUCUACUUUUAUCGUUUAAAUCGGCCAGAUAAAUCAAUAUGAAUUUUUUUUUAAUUGAAAAAAAAAUUUCACCAAUGUUGAAUCUAAAUAACUUGAACGGGUCUUUACUGAAAGUUUUCGAAAAAACAAUCGUAAAAAAUUGUUUUUCGUUAACGAUUAGGAAAAGGUUUAAAGCAGACCGCAAAAAUUAAAUAGUUGUUUUUUUUCUAUUGAAAAAAAAGCAAUUAAAUUGCGGCGUAUCUUUCAAUUGUCUGCCUUAUCAACUGUCGAUGGUAGAUUAUAUGUCUACCAUGGUUGUAACGGGUAACGGGGAAUCAGGGUUCGAUUCCGGAGAGGGAGCCUGAGAAACGGCUACCACAUCUAAGGAAGGCAGCAGGCACGCAAAUUACCCAUUCCCGGCACGGGGAGGUAGUGACGAAAAAUAACGAUCCGGAACUCGAAUGAGUUUCCGUAAUCGGAAUGAGUACAAUUUAAAUCCUUUAACGAGGAACUAAUGGAGGGCAAGUCUGGUGCCAGCAGCCGCGGUAAUUCCAGCUCCAUUAGCAUAUAUUAAAAUUGUUGCGUUUAAAAAGCUCGUAGUUGAAUCUCUAUCUCAUACUGUCAAACGCUCAUAAUAUUUACUUAUGUAGUAUGUUUUUGACAAAAUUUAAAAAUUGUAUGAGAUAUGCAAACUGGUGGAUUUUCAAAAAAUUUUCAUUCUAGUUCGAACGAAUGGACGGCGGCAGCGGUAAAGACAACGGCCGCCGCGUUGGCGAUNAUCGUAANCGUCGUGUGUCGUUGUCGACGUUGUCGUCAUAAUUUCUCGACUUGUGAAAUUUUUAAUUCGAUAUUGUUGUUUAAUCGUUUCNAGAGUCAUAUUGUUCAUGAAUUUAGGGCGGCGCUUAACGUUAAGUUUUACUUAUCGACUUUGGCGAUAUUUAUUUAUUGUUCAUCGCGCGUAUAGGUAAAAUGUUAUUCGCUUCUUGAAUGCGUGCACAUUGAUUCAUUUAUAUGAAACAUGAACAAUAAAUAUUCUAAUUGUUGAUUAGAAAUUUACAACGGCCUCGCCGACAUCGAAUCAGUUUCGUUGCCGGCGGAAUCGUUAUUUUCAGCAAAUUUAGACCAGUUAAAUUACUUUGAACAAAUUAGAGUGCUUAAAGCAGGCUUCAUUAUAUGCCUUGAAUAUAAACAGCAUGGAAUAAUAGAAUAUGAUCUCGAUACUGUUUGUUAAAACUGUUGCAAAUUGCCGUUUUUCGGNNNNNNNNNNNNNAACUUUGGCGAUAUUUAUUUAUUGUUCAUCGCGCGUAUAGGUAAAAUGUUAUUCGCUUCUUGAAUGCGUGCACAUUGAUUCAUUUAUAUGAAACAUGAACAAUAAAUAUUCUAAUUGUUGAUUAGAAAUUUACAACGGCCUCGCCGACAUCGAAUCAGUUUCGUUGCCGGCGGAAUCGUUAUUUUCAGCAAAUUUAGACCAGUUAAAUUACUUUGAACAAAUUAGAGUGCUUAAAGCAGGCUUCAUUAUAUGCCUUGAAUAUAAACAGCAUGGAAUAAUAGAAUAUGAUCUCGAUACUGUUUGUUAAAACUGUUGCAAAUUGCCGUUUUUGGUGCAUGUUCACACAUGUGCCGGACGUGUAUUCGUUUGGUAACGAAAAGUUGGCUUAAAGAUUUGCGUAUUAUUUGAAAGGAAUUUUCUCAAUUGCAGAAGUUGCUUUCGAAUUGAAAUUUUUUAGUUUAGGCAAUUGUCUCGCUCGACUAGAUUUACACCAGAAACGUUUAUCGUUCAAAGAUAAAUUUGUGCGCUCGCGCGUGCGCACAUGCAGUAUGUAUCGUGCGCACACUCGUUGUCGCCGUUUCGGUGAAAUCGCUUCGAUGUCGACGUGACGCUAAAAAAAUUGCUUAUUUAAAAUGCUAGAAUUUUUUAUAAAAAGAUGCGCAUUUCGACAGUAUAU